CUACCUUAUCGUUGAUAAGUUCUGAUGAAAGUCUGCUUUCCGGAUUUUAAGUAUACUUGCUGCUGAAUUGGUAUAAUAAAUUAGAGCGAGACAGAAUAUACUUAUAUCACAUAUAUUUUAACAAUGCAGCUAAAAUGAACAGACCAUAAGAAAUGCCCAAGCAGGUUAGCUGCACUCGAAAGCUGGCUUAUGAAUUGUAAAAAAGAAAGCAGGUGGAAACAAUAUGGUGCUGAUAAAUGUCAUAUAUGAUUUAUUAUAAUAUAAAUCGAUUUCCUAAGUCAAUUUACAUAUAGAAGUGCCGAGGACCAGAGAGAAACUUGAGAACGGCUAUCAUAUAUAUAAUAUUACCAGGGACUCGGAUCGGACCGGAGCCAGAACCGAAAACCGUAUGGAAACUGGUAUUUUUGUCGGACCGAAACCAUAAAUCGUACCGAAAUUUUAUAAAGCCUAUAGAAUCGGAAUCGGAACCAUUAAAUUUUUUUCGGUUUACGGUUUUGUCGGUUAUUCUUAUAACUUACUUCAAGAGCUUUUCAAAACACUAUUAUAAAAUAUUUUUGCAUUAAAUAUUUUUCGAAUUAUAAGGCUUGAAAAUUGCAGUACCAUCGACAUUAACAUUACUCAAUAAAAGCUUCAGUAAGGAAACAAAUUUUAAAAAUCGGAACUGAAAAAAUCAUAAAUGGUACUUUCAUUAUCCAGAAAACCAGAACCGGACCGAUAUUUUCAUUCGGUCCGGGUCCCUGUUAAAGACAAAAAAAAUCCGAAUUUAAAUUAUGUCUAGACAAAUUAUAAUUAUAUACAUAAAAUAAUUCUAAAUUUGAAAUCUAAUAAUUAUAUUGUUACGUCCCGAGAUAUGUCCCGAGACACGUCCGGAACUUCCACCCCCUUUUCUUUUUGUUCUUCCUCUUCGCUCUUCCUCUUCUCCUUUUCCUUCGCUCUUCUUUCGCCUUAGCGGUCGCCUGUUGACAUCGUAUCAAGCCCAUUUUUGCACCUGAAAUCAGUUAUAAUGUUUGUAGUUUCGACCGUAUCAUUUGUUAAUUACCACAUAGCUGUAGGAACGUAAUAGUUAGCGAGUUUUUGCGCCUCAACCAAUAAUGUAAUUAUUUUUUAGAAAUUCAACUCACUGUGAACCUUGACAGCCAGGCCGUAUAACAUGCACACGACCGAUAGGAUGACCAGGGCGCUUUUAUUCAUAGUCGGGUCGGUCAGUAGACUAGCAUCCAACUUGUCAGAAGCUAACGGUACUUUGUUUAAAUAAUUCACACUUUUUACUUACCCUUUUUUGAAUUUAUUAAUUUCAAUUGAAUUAGAUCCGGCACGCAUUAAAUCCGGCACGCAUUAGAUCGUUACGCAGACUUACCUCCAAAUUUUAAGCAAAAUAAGGAUCCCUUUAGAGAUCGACCUUGAAAGCCCCGCACCUUACUAGCUUGCGAACGCUUAGUACACAGAUGCAUCAGCUGCGGCGUCUAACACCGCGCGCGGAGGUCAAGGGCCCGCGUCACCCUAUUGUCAAUAGAAAAUUUAUAACUCCCCUCAUUUUUGCUACUGUAUUAAAACGGAAUGAAUUUGGUAACUUCGCGUCUUCUGAAUUUAUUGCACUACCAAUCAUGCUUGGUGUAUAAUAUGAUUUUAUAUUAUGCGAUUUUCACGUAUUAUAUGCGAUUUAGAUAAGCUAAAAUUUUCCGCUCCGUAAGAACGGAUGUACAUGAUCCGUCUCUCACCGAAUCUCAGGAACAUGAGAAUUUCGUAGAACACCAAGUCCGUUGAUGUUAGUACCAAAAAUGCUGAUCAUUGCGACUACGAAAGAAAGAAGGAGACAGAAACAGACUUAUAAGUAAGCAUUUCGUCUUCACAGCAGUCAGUCAGUCUUGCCAGUCUUUUCCUCAGUCUUCGUCAAGAGCAGAAAAUUUCCGUCACUAAAAUCUGUGUUGUGUCUCGAGUCGGUACUCGCUUUCGAUCGUCUCAACUUUCAUAAUUCAAACACCCGCUUGCGAAACGAAUUCAUCGAGUUUAAAUUUAUCAACAAGUGCUAUAUAUUUUGCGAAUCGUCUGCCUUAUGGGGUACAAAAUCUCUCUCUGCCAACUUGAGUUGCUUCAGCCAGGCCGCCUGUCUCUUUCUUUUCCUAAGGCGACGUACACCUUUCAACUCUUUACUAUGGAUUAACCGACAUCAAGUGUAAGUCCACCUUUAUAAGUCCAUAAUAAUAACCGGUGUCAAUAAAUAAAUACGACGUGGCGAAAAAUUAAUUGUCAUCUCGAAUGAAAAUCUGUUUAAAUUUUCAUCGCGGGCUUAAUAAAUCACAUUUUUGUUUAUUUUUGAUUGGUCAUUGUCUUUCCUUAAAUUAAUUUAAUUUUUCCUUAUGCUCAAACUCAUCCCAUUGAUCCCACAUUAAAUCUCGAAAAUAUCAACCUUUUCGCAACCUUCCCCCUCGAUUUAUCUAUCUGCUCAGUGCAACGGAGCCAAGUCCGCUGCGCGUGUCGCGGGCUACUCGGGACGUGGCAAUAUAGAUAAAAAUAAUUCUAAAUUUUUAUUGUGUUUUAAAAUAAUUUCAAUUUGUAUAAUUAAAGUCAUGUCUAAACAUAAUUUUAAAUCGUCGAAUAAAAAUUAUGUUGCGACAAAAUUAUAUGAUAACCAUCAAAUCAGGUUCAGUUUGAAUUGACGCAGUUGAAUAUUUGGAAAAGUACUCUUGGGACAUUGAACAAAUGUGUAAGACGAAUGUUGUGUAAUUUUUAUGAAGGCACAUAUGGUAUAUAGUAAUAUUAUAAUAGGGGUAAUUUUAAUAAAUUUUUUUUCAAUUCCCAAGUUCUUUACAAUCUGUCUGUCAUGACAUUCAGUAACUUGUUUGUUCUUAAUUAAUUUGUGGAGGAUAACCCACUGGUCAGCCUCCUUUAGUAUUCUUCUUCUUAGAAGGUUCUGUUUAUCUUUAAACGCAUUAUUAUUUUUGUCUAGUAUAAUUAAGUGUUAUUCUUUAUGUAUGUCAUUUGUGUAUACAUUCAAAAUCUAUCUUUUAAGUUUAUGUUUUGUUUUUGGUCUAUGUUUUGUUUUUAGCCCGCGUCUUUUAUUAGAGUUCAGAAAUAAAUUUCUCGCAAGACUGUUAAGGUGGGUUUUCAAUUUUUUGUGAUAUGCUUUGCUAUACCUUUUGAUUUCUUCCUUGACAGAGCUUAUUUUUAAACCAUUGUUUAUUAUAUCAGUAGUGACAUACCGGGGCCUUUACAAUCAUUCUCAAUGAUUUGACUGAAAUCUUUGCAGGAUUUCUAUAUUAGAGAUUGAUGCUGUGUCCCACAGCUGUAUCCCGUAUAUCCAUAUUAGCUUUAACACGUUCACGCCGGGGCUGAUUUUCAUGUUUUUCGCUGUGAGGUGGCGCUCGAAUUCAUGCUGCGCUUCAUCUGGUGGCGCCAGAUUAUUUAAAUUUUCAACUAUACGACAAUUUUUUCCAGUUACUAAACAAACUAUAUUUUUGAUGGUGAGCGGCGUCUAAACGAAUAUUCAAGCGUGACCCACCGGUGAUGCACGCCGCCCGAUGGCUCAUUAUCGUGUGACCCACCGGUGAUGCACGCCUCCAGAUGGGACAGUCGAGCGUGACCCACCGGUGAUGCACGCCGGCGUGAAUGUGUUAAUAUUGCUUUAUAGAUUAAUAAAUUGUUUUCUGUUGAUAGUCCUGACUUUCUGCCCAUUAUCCAGUACAAGUUUCUCAAUUUGAUGUUGCUUUUGCUUAGUGAAUAUAAUUGCUUCGGUCCAAGGUAGCUUCACCAUAUGCCACAGUCAACAUUCGGAAUGUGUCCGC